rnacentral:rRNA from 1 species
UACGAAGGGGGCUAGCGUUGCUCGGAAUCACUGGGCGUAAAGGGCGCGUAGGCGGACUCUUAAGUCGGGGGUGAAAGCCCAGGGCUCAACCCUGGAAUUGCCUUCGAUACUGAGAGUCUUGAGUUCGGAAGAGGUUGGUGGAACUGCGAGUGUAGAGGUGAAAUUCGUAGAUAUUCGCAAGAACACCAGUGGCGAAGGCGGCCAACUGGUACCGAUACUGACGCUGAGGCACGAAAGCGUGGGGAGCAAACAGGG